rnacentral:lncRNA from 1 species
UAAUAUAAAAUAAGACAUAAUAAAACACCAUAGAUUUUCAUCUCUCUCUUAACAACAAAAAAACAGAUCUUCUUUCCCUUAAUUCCAUCAUCAUACACAAACCCACCACAUCAUAUUUAAUAAUAACAACCAUAGUCAAGCGAUCAUUAUGCAAAAUAAGUAAGGGGUUGAGUUCGGACCUUGACCGGAAACGCCGUUAGCGGUGGUGCAGUGGCGUUCAGGAUGAACAGCGAUGAGAAGAUCGAUUGAGAGAGGCAGCGCGCGACUGGUGCACAGAGGAGGAUGUCGUGAUUGGUCGCGUAGGUUUUUGAAGUAUCGUCUUCUCUUCUUCCGAUCGUUGUGGAUGCUGUUGCGGUGUUUUAAUUUUUCUCUUACAGUAAUUUUCCUUGGUUUCCAAUUGUGUCCCCCUUUUCUUCUUACUAUUCUAUCUUUUUAUAAUAAAAAACAAUUUUAGGAAUUGAUUUUGAUUGUUGUUAAAUUUGGGAAGAAUGGAUUGUCUACUGUGAUUUGAAUUUCGUAUCAUAUUUGAAAUUGAUUAAUUGAUUUUGGAGUUAAUAAAAAUCUGAUAGAGAUAUGUUUAUGAUUGAAUCGGUA